UCGCCCGCCGGCUCUCCUGGGUCUGUCCCAAGCUCUUUCCUCCCAGCCUGCUGUUCAUUCCUGGCCCGGCUCCUCCCUCCUUCCUGCCCCCCUCCCCGCCUCCCUCCUUGCUUUCUACUGAGGUUCAGCGGGCCUGUAACAGCACGGGCCCUCGGGUGUGGGGCACAAUGCCCGGAUGCUUGCAUCUGCGGGAAACGGCGUGCCAGGCAGCCUGGCGGCUGUGGCUGGCAACACCGGGGAGAGAGGAAGACAGCCCUGGAGGGAGCGCGGGUCCUUUCCUGCCAUGAAAUCUCUGUGGCGCCUCGGAGCAUCUUUGGUGGGGAGCGAUGACCCUGUGCGGGCGCACAGUAAUCCUGACCUCCACAGGGAUGCGAACACAAAAACAUGAAACUUGUCUGUAUUGUCAGGGGCUACUUAUCCCCCGAGCACUCUAUCUUGUACAGAAUUUUGGCAACACAGGACCCGAAGACCCAAUGACCACAUCUUCCACUGUACUCAAAAUAUGGCAAGUUGAAGCAAGUGGUUCACCUAUCUUGAAACCACAGACACGUUCACGUCCUGCUGCUGUUGUUGCCGGUGAAUGGCGAGGCCGUCUCUGCUUGUCGCUUCUUCAAAAUCAUUGAUUAGACCUGUGAGGGCAUCUUCUUAUCUAACAUAUUAGCAAAGAAACACAUCACAGUUAAAAUAUAUUUGGUAAGUAUUUCAGUCUAGUUGGGUUUCUGGUGAUCGUCUACAUCUCCUGGAUGCACACGUACAUAUCCAUCAGAGGACGGCGUGGUCAUGGGCUUCCCAAGGCUCCCCGGCAUUAAAAGAGGCUAAGAAACUCUGCUUUAGAGGGAGGUUGAGAGGCGAAAUGCACGUUUACCAAAGGACCAGCAGCCUUCUGAGGGCAGAAGGAGAGAAAAGGAACUUCAAAGAACAAGUGUCAUGAGGACGGAGAGCGACCAACGCAGCGCACAGGGAGCGCAGCCUGACCCUGCGGCAAUACCCUAAAUUACCGUAUUUGGGGCAGCCAUUCCCUCGGGAUGGUUUUUGGGCCCCUGCUCCGAGCCUGCAGUGUCUGUGGACACAGAUGCCAUGACAGCCAACACCGCACACCGAGCCUGGCCUCUGUGACGCUGCAGAUGGACGUGGUCGCCCCCAUCCCCGAGCUCAGCCCCCACACUAGGGCCAUGCCCUCUGCCUCCCAUGGGCACAUACUUUCCUGUUGUGACCUUUAGGGGUGAUGUCACCCGCCGACAAGGUCAUGUUUGAGCAGCCUCAGUCCUAGAGUCCUGCGACUUCCAUUCCAGUGCUCUGUCCACGGGGCUCCGGGGGAUCUGGAGGCCCAGAUGCCUGGUCUCCCGCCCUCGUGCCCUUACAUCGGGACCCAAGGCACCUCAGGGACUCUCCUGUCCAACCAGUCCGUCUUCACUGCAUCAGAGGGGCUCCCCGCUGGGGCUGCAGUGGGGAUACCAGGACCUUCGAAUGUGGCCACUCCUGUCUCUCCAGACCCUGGUUUCUUCAUCUGCAUGGGGCAAAAAGAAUUGUAUUUCUACAAAAGGUUGUGUGAGGGUGACGGGAAGGGGUGCCUGUGGGAGGGACUGUAAUGUCCUGUUCAUGGUUCUCCCCAGCAUGGCCAGCACGAGAGCAGUGGAGUGCCCCUGGGAGGUCCAGGCGACCCAG